rnacentral:rRNA from 1 species
GUUAAGCGACUAAGCGUACACGGUGGAUGCCCUGGCAGUCAGAGGCGAUGAAGGACGUGCUAAUCUGCGAUAAGCGUCGGUAAGGUGAUAUGAACCGUUAUAACCGGCGAUUUCCGAAUGGGGAAACCCAGUGUGUUUCGACACACUAUCAUUAACUGAAUCCAUAGGUUAAUGAGGCGAACCGGGGGAACUGAAACAUCUAAGUACCCCGAGGAAAAGAAAUCAACCGAGAUUCCCCCAGUAGCGGCGAGCGAACGGGGAGCAGCCCAGAGCCUGAAUCAGUGUGUGUGUUAGUGGAAGCGUCUGGAAAGGCGUGCGAUACAGGGUGACAGCCCCGUACACAAAAAUGCACAUGCUGUGAGCUCGAUGAGUAGGGCGGGACACGUGGUAUCCUGUCUGAAUAUGGGGGGACCAUCCUCCAAGGCUAAAUACUCCUGACUGACCGAUAGUGAACCAGUACCGUGAGGGAAAGGCGAAAAGAACCCCGGCGAGGGGAGUGAAAAAGAACCUGAAACCGUGUACGUACAAGCAGUGGGAGCACGCUUAGGCGUGUGACUGCGUACCUUUUGUAUAAUGGGUCAGCGACUUAUAUUCUGUAGCAAGGUUAACCGAAUAGGGGAGCCGAAGGGAAACCGAGUCUUAACUGGGCGUUAAGUUGCAGGGUAUAGACCCGAAACCCGGUGAUCUAGCCAUGGGCAGGUUGAAGGUUGGGUAACACUAACUGGAGGACCGAACCGACUAAUGUUGAAAAAUUAGCGGAUGACUUGUGGCUGGGGGUGAAAGGCCAAUCAAACCGGGAGAUAGCUGGUUCUCCCCGAAAGCUAUUUAGGUAGCGCCUCGUGAAUUCAUCUCCGGGGGUAGAGCACUGUUUCGGCAAGGGGGUCAUCCCGACUUACCAACCCGAUGCAAACUGCGAAUACCGGAGAAUGUUAUCACGGGAGACACACGGCGGGUGCUAACGUCCGUCGUGAAGAGGGAAACAACCCAGACCGCCAGCUAAGGUCCCAAAGUCAUGGUUAAGUGGGAAACGAUGUGGGAAGGCCCAGACAGCCAGGAUGUUGGCUUAGAAGCAGCCAUCAUUUAAAGAAAGCGUAAUAGCUCACUGGUCGAGUCGGCCUGCGCGGAAGAUGUAACGGGGCUAAACCAUGCACCGAAGCUGCGGCAGCGACACUAUGUGUUGUUGGGUAGGGGAGCGUUCUGUAAGCCUGUGAAGGUGUACUGUGAGGUAUGCUGGAGGUAUCAGAAGUGCGAAUGCUGACAUAAGUAACGAUAAAGCGGGUGAAAAGCCCGCUCGCCGGAAGACCAAGGGUUCCUGUCCAACGUUAAUCGGGGCAGGGUGAGUCGACCCCUAAGGCGAGGCCGAAAGGCGUAGUCGAUGGGAAACAGGUUAAUAUUCCUGUACUUGGUGUUACUGCGAAGGGGGGACGGAGAAGGCUAUGUUGGCCGGGCGACGGUUGUCCCGGUUUAAGCGUGUAGGCUGGUUUUCCAGGCAAAUCCGGAAAAUCAAGGCUGAGGCGUGAUGACGAGGCACUACGGUGCUGAAGCAACAAAUGCCCUGCUUCCAGGAAAAGCCUCUAAGCAUCAGGUAACAUCAAAUCGUACCCCAAACCGACACAGGUGGUCAGGUAGAGAAUACCAAGGCGCUUGAGAGAACUCGGGUGAAGGAACUAGGCAAAAUGGUGCCGUAACUUCGGGAGAAGG